rnacentral:rRNA from 1 species
CCUACGGGAGACAGCAGUCGAGAAUCAUUCACAAUGGGGGAAACCCUGAUGGUGCGACGCCGCGUGGGGGAAUGAAGGUCUUCGGAUUGUAAACCCCUGUCAUGUGGGAGCAAAUUAAAAAGAUAGUACCACAAGAGGAAGAGACGGCUAACUCUGUGCCAGCAGCCGCGGUAAUACAGAGGUCUCAAGCGUUGUUCGGAAUCACUGGGCGUAAGGCGUGCGUAGGCUGUUUCGUAAGUCGUGUGUGAAAGGCGCGGGCUCAACCCGCGGACGGCACAUGAUACUGCGAGACUAGAGUAAUGGAGGGGGAACCGGAAUUCUCGGUGUAGCAGUGAAAUGCGUAGAUAUCGAGAGGAACACUCGUGGCGAAGGCGGGUUCCUGGACAUUAACUGACGCUGAGGCACGAAGGCCAGGGGAGCGAAAGGGAUUAGAUACCCGAGUAGUC